ACGACAUGAUGAGGACAUUUCUGAUGAUGUCCUUUAAUCUUUCCCAUGCCUCGUGAAACUGCUCACUAUCGUGCUGUGAAAAACUAGUGAGAGCUCGCCUUAUUUG
rnacentral:snoRNA from 1 species